UACGUAGGGUGCAAGCGUUGUCCGGAAUUACUGGGCGUAAAGCGUGCGCAGGCGGCUUUGCAAGACAGAUGUAAAAUCCCCGGGCUCAACCUGGGAACUGCAUUUGUGACUGCACGGCUAGAGUACGGUAGAGGGGGAUGGAAUUCCGCGUGUAGCAGUGAAAUGCGUAGAUAUGCGGAGGAACACCGAUGGCGAAGGCAAUCCCCUGGACCUGUACUGACGCUCAUGCACGAAAGCGUGGGGAGCAAACAGG
rnacentral:rRNA from 1 species